UGGGGAAUUUUCCGCAAUGGGCGCAAGCCUGACGGAGCAAUGCCGCGUGAGGGAGGAAGGCUUUUGGGUUGUAAACCUCUUUUCUCAAGGAAGAACAAUGACGGUACUUGAGGAAUAAGCAUCGGCUAACUCCGAGCCAGCAGCCCCGGUAAUACGGAGGAUGCAAGCGUUAUCCGGAAUUAUUGGGCGUAAAGCGUCCGUAGGUGGCUGAACAAGUCUGCUGUUAAAGACCAAAGCUUAACUUUCGGCCAGCAGUGGAAACUGUGCAGCUAGAGACCGGUAGGGGUAGAGGGAAUUUCCAGUGUAGCGGUGAAAUGCGUAGAGAUUGGAAAGAACACCAGUGGCGAAAGCGCUCUACUGGACCGGAACUGACACUGCGGGACGAAAGCGAGGGGAGCGAAAGGGAUUAGAUACCCCCGUAGUCC
rnacentral:rRNA from 1 species